rnacentral:lncRNA from 1 species
CUACAUAGGGGCUGCGAAUUUCAGCCUAUAAAUACCAUCCUUUGCUGCACCAUUUAGACACCAUCCUCUACCAUAUUUUCACUACACCAUUCACCCAAAAACCCCUCUGUGCCGUGAGUUUUGCAAGGAGAAGAAGGAAGAAAUCUGGAGCCGUGCUUGCCAUUCAAGAAGCUUGGAUUGUUGGAGCGUUUCUAGGUGUUUUCUAUCUUUGUUUUAAUGUUUAAAUUUAUUUAUCUUUGUUUAUUUACGAACAUGAGGAACUAAUUUCUUUAUAGUUAGAGGGGAAUUCAAAGCCAUGAUCAUAUGUUUUAUAUGACUUGAUUUCCUCCAGUUAUGAUUUCAUAAAUCGUGAAUGUGGUUUACUUAUCUAUUUGAUUGAUAACUUGUUCUUGUGUGUUGAUUAAGGAUGCAUACUUAGUUUGCAUGCAUGAAUUUGAUGCUAGAGUAUAAGGCAAUUUCACCUAAUCGUUAUUAACUUAUAUUCAUAAGUAGUAAAAGUCGCUAGUCACGAUUGUGUUAAGUAAAUCCUUGGCAAGAGUAACAUGCGUAUUCCUGUUGGAAAUGUGCCCUAAAGCCAAUCAUGUGAUGAUACUUUACGGACAUUUCACAUGUUAAACUAAU